AGAGUUUGAUCAUGGCUCAGAGCGAACGCUGGCGGCGUGCUUAACACAUGCAAGUCGAGUGCGCGCCUGUAGCAAUACAGGUGGCGCACGGCGCACGGGUGCGUAACACGUGGGCAAUCUGCCCUUCGAUGGGGAAUAACUCCGGGAAACCGAAGCUAAUUCCGCAUAACAUUCCUUGAACUUCGGUUUGGGGACUCAAAGGCGUAAGUCGUCGGAGGAGGAGCCCGCGCACGAUUAGCUAGUUGGUAGGGUAACGGCCUACCAAGGCUUUGAUCGUUAGCUGGUCUGAGAGGAUGGCCAGCCACACUGGAACUGAGACUCGGUCCAGACUCCUACGGGAGGCAGCAGUGGGGAAUCUUGCACAAUGGGCGAAAGCCUGAUGCAGCGACGCCGCGUGGGGGAUGAAGCUUUUCGGAGUGUAAACCCCUUUCGACCCGGACGAAACCCCGCAAGGGUUUGACGGUACGGGUAUAAGAAGCCCCGGCUAACUACGUGCCAGCAGCCGCGGUAAGACGUGGGGGGCCAGCGUUGCUCGGAAUUACUGGGUGUAAAGGGUUCGUAGGCGGUGUGGCAAGUCGGGAGUGAAAUCUCUGGGCUUAACUCAGAGACUGCUUCCGAAACUGCUGUGCUUGAGUGUGGGAGAGGCGCGUGGAAUUGCAGGUGUAGCGGUGAAAUGCGUAGAUAUCUGCAGGAACACCCGUGGCGAAAGCGGCGCGCUGGACCACUACUGACGCUGAGGAACGAAAGCUAGGGGAGCAAACAGGAUUAGAUACCCUGGUAGUCCUAGCCCUAAACGAUCAGGACUUGGGGUGCCGCACGUUCGUGCGUCGUCCCGGAGCUAACGCGUUAAGUCCUGCACCUGGGGAGUACGGUCGCAAGACUGAAACUCAAAGGAAUUGACGGGGGCCCGCACAAGCGGUGGACAUGUGGUUCAAUUCGACGCUACGCGAGGAACCUUACCUGGGCUCGAAGCGCACUUGACUAGCUAUAGAAAUUUUGCCUUC
rnacentral:rRNA from 1 species